GGCGGCAGCCUAUACAUGCAAGUCGAACGAGAGGAAGGAAAGCUUGCUUUUCUGAAUCUAGUGGCGAACGGGUGAGUAACACGUAGGUAACCUGCCCAUGUGCUCGGGAUAACUUCUGGAAACGGAUGCUAAAACCGGAUAGGUAGCAGACAAGCAUUUGACUGCUAUUAAAGUGGCUAAGGCCAUGAACAUGGAUGGACCUGCGGUGCAUUAGCUAGUUGGUGAGGUAACGGCCCACCAAGGCGACGAUGCAUAGCCGGCCUGAGAGGGCGGACGGCCACAUUGGGACUGAGACACGGCCCAGACUCCUACGGGAGGCAGCAGUAGGGAAUUUUCGUCAAUGGGGGGAACCCUGAACGAGCAAUGCCGCGUGAGUGAGGAAGGUCUUCGGAUCGUAAAGCUCUGUUGUAAGAGAAAAACGACAUUCAUAGGGAAUGAUGAGUGAGUGAUGGUAUCUUACCAGAAAGUCACGGCUAACUACGUGCCAGCAGCCGCGGUAAU
rnacentral:rRNA from 1 species